UGAAUAUGCAGAGGACGCCCUCGACGGUCUGAACCACCCAGAGGGUCCAGAGGCGCCCGCGCAUGCCGAAUUUCACGGACAUCAGGUCGGAGACGUAUCCCCCGAUGGAUCUCGCGAAGAGGUUCAUCAGGCCGUAGGUGGACGCCAGGGUGCCCGCGGUGACGAGGUCGAGCUCGAACUGAUCGUACAGGUACGCGGCGACGAUGUUGUUCAUGGUGAGCUCGACGCCGAAGCAGAAGCCGUAGGUGGCGACCAUGCACCACAUGCGGUAGUUGGUGAUGCCGAGGUACUGCGUGUUCAGCGCGGACUUCUUCUCGAUCUGGCCGGAGGUGUGAAGGAACUUGAAGUUACCCUCGGGAAGAUCCUGCCCGACGAACAUGACGGCGACGC
rnacentral:lncRNA from 1 species